rnacentral:rRNA from 1 species
CCGUUGUACACACGCCCGUCACACCACGAGAGUUUGCAACACCGAAGCCGGUGAGGUAACCGCAAGGAGCCAGCCGUCGAAGGUGGGUAGAUGAUUGGGUG